AAUACGGAUUCGGAAAUAUCAUGUUUUGAAUCCGAUCCGAUCCGUUUGCAUCUCUAUUCCCAAAUACCUCGCCAGGGUUUAGCGACUUCGGUUUGGAAUUUGGAGUCUCUCUUUCUCUGCUGGUUCUCACCUCUCCGUCUUCUCACUGUGCUCUUCUCUCGUGCAAAGGGUAAAGGGGCCCAUGGAUUCUUCGUCCAUUGAUACUGCUAACUUGCAAAGGCUUAUAGAAGAUGAGAAGCAGAGGGCUAUGGUGAACCAGAUGGUGGCUAAACUCACUGAUCUUUGCUGGGAUAAAUGUGUCACUGGAAGCAUAGGAAGUAGCAUGAGUAGCAGUGAGAGUACAUGCCUCACCAACUGUGCUCAGCGUUUUGUGGACAUCAGUAUGUUAACAAUCCAGCGCUUUAAAAAUAUGCAUUGAUCCAGUGAAAGAUUGAAGUGAUGGCAUUGCCAAGCAUUAUUCAAUAUUGAUAACUUGUAGGCAUCUUAGAUUACUUGAAGGGUAUUGCUUUUAUUUUUUUGGAGUACAUUUCAUUCAUUAUCAGUUCAGGUCCUUUGUUGGAAACACCAUUUAGGAUAUGAAGCUUUUCCAUGUGAAAACCUUAUUUUGGUCCUUCAUAUUUGGUCUUUCUGGUCUUUUGUAUUUUUAUUAAUUUUAUUUUUCUCUUUCCAUGCAUACAGAUUGGUAAUUGGGAUGACAUAAUGAAUGAAUUGUUUGUCAUCAAGA